AGAAGCCCCAAGCUUGCCCAUCUGGGCAGAGGAUCCUCCUCGGAUCAUCACUGGCACUGAAUUUCAUUUGCCUUUGCUGUGCCCACUCACAUGCUUCACUCAGGUCUCUUCAGAGUGCUCCUAAACUUGGCUGCCUCAUAAGAUGUACCUUCCUUUAACAAGUUGCCCUGCUGCCACUGCACACUGCCUUAUUGCUGCCUGCUAAACUCCACUGCUGCCAGUUACCAGGAGCAGACCCUGGAUGCCUGCAUGCCAUCAGCCUGUGUGGCCAGCGUGACACUGUGCUGAGACUGCACCACAUCUGCCUCUGCACCUGAAGGUCCUGUCUAGAAUUCCUGGACACAUACACAGAUCAUCCAGAAGAAGCCAGGAGACAAGGUCAGAGAUUGUCUGCGUCCUGCCCCCAGAAGCCAGGAAGAGUCAAGCCUCAAUGUCCAACAAGACAGAGUCCCCUGAAAGCAUUUGGGCACUGUCUGGGCUGUGGUUAGCCCCAUGAGUGGGCAAUAAUAAUCUGUGAGUAAAUGCUUGAAUGCCUCUUUGUAAUUCUCCACUGCCUUCUGCCAUGGAGCAGAAAGAGCUCCU